rnacentral:rRNA from 1 species
AUUGAACGCUGGCGGAAUGCUUUACACAUGCAAGUCGAACGGCAGCACGGACUUCGGUCUGGUGGCGCGUGGCGCACGGGUGAGUAACAUAUCGGAACGUAUCCAAUAAUGGGGGAUAACUAAUUGAACGGUUGGCUAAUACUGCAUACGCCCUACGGGGGAAAGCUAGGGACCUUCGGGCCUGGCGUUAAUGGAGCGGCCGAUAUCUGAUUAGCUAGUUGGUGGGCUAAAGGCCAACCAAGGCGACGAUCAGUAGCUGGUCGGAGAGGACGACCAGCCACACUGGAACUGAGACACGGUCCAGACUCCUGCGGGAGGCAGCAGUGGGGAAUUUUGGACAAUGGGCGCAAGCCUGAUCCAGCCAUUCCGCGUGAGAGAAGAAGGCCUUCGGGUUGUAAAGCUCCUUCGCAAGGGAAGAAAACUUAUCCUCUGACAUAGAGUGAGGUUGACGGUACCUUGAUAAGAAGCACCGGCUAACUACGUGCCAGCAGCCGCAGUAAUAC